CAGCCGCCGCGGUAAUACCGGCGGCCCGAGUGGCGGCCACUCUUAUUGGGCUUAAAGCGUCCGUAGCCGGGUUGGUUAGUCUCCCGGGAAAUCUGGCCGCUUAACGGUCAGAAUUCCGGGAGAUACUGCCAGCCUAGGGACCGGGAGAGGCCGAGGGUAUUCCCGGAGUAGGGGUGAAAUCCUAUAAUCCCGGGAGGACCACCUGUGGCGAAGGCGCUCGGCUGGAACGGGUCCGACGGUGAGGGACGAAGGCCAGGGGAGCAAACCGGAGUAGAUACCCGGGUAGUCCUGGCUGUAAACGAUGCGGACUUUGUGUCGGACAAGCUAUGAGCUUGUCCGGUGCCGGAGGGAAACCGUUAAGUCCGCCGCCUGGGGAGUACGGCCGCAAGGCUGAAACUUAAAGGAGUUGGCGGG
rnacentral:rRNA from 1 species